UCUUCCUUCCUGUUACCUCAGAUAAAAUAUUUAGGAGAAAGGGAUUACCGGCAUGACAAUAAGGCUCAUUAUUUUCAGAAGCUUGUAACUAUGCAGGAGAAUUUAUAUGUACUUCUGUGUGAUGAAGAAUUGGAUGCAGUCUCUUUGGAAGCUGUGCACCAACAAAAGAUGAAGAAUAGACAAGCCCACUCUUCAUCAGGUAACAAAUCUGGCAUCUGAUCACAAUUGAUGGCUGGUUUAUCAUCUACAAGGAACCAUGCCAAUAUUGUGUUAAAAGUUUUAACAAAAUUAACUGGAGGGCCCAAACUGUGACAAAGAAUGUCAUAAGUGCAGCGAAGUGAUUUGCAUUUUAUGCAGUGAAACCAGGUGUGCGAAACAACUAGUACAUCAGAAAAUUCAGCAAUCCAGAAUUCCGGUUUUUCAGAAAAGGGCAAGAGCAGG
rnacentral:lncRNA from 1 species